rnacentral:rRNA from 1 species
UACGAAGGGUGCAAGCGUUACUCGGAAUUACUGGGCGUAAAGCGUGCGUAGGUGGUUUGUUAAGUCUGAUGUGAAAGCCCACGGCUCAACCGUGGAAGGUCAUUGGAAACUGAAAGGCUUGAGUACAGAAGAGGAAAGCGGAAUUCCACGUGUAGCGGUGAAAUGCGUAGAGAUGUGGAGGAACACCAGUGGCGAAGGCGGCUUUCUGGCUCGCAACUGACGCUAAGGCGCGAAAGCGUGGGGAGCAAACAGG